rnacentral:rRNA from 1 species
AGCGGAGGAAAAGAAACUAACAAGGAUUCCCCUAGUAACUGCGAGUGAAGCGGGAAAAGCUCAAAUUUAAAAUCUGGCAGUUGUAUGGCUGUCCGAGUUGUAAUCUAGAGAAGUGCUUUCCGCGUUGGACCGUGUACAAGUCUCUUGGAACAGAGCGUCAUAGAGGGUGAGAAUCCCGUCUUUGACACGGACUACCAGUGCUUAUGUGAUGUGCUCUCGAAGAGUCGAGUUGUUUGGGAAUGCAGCUCAAAAUGGGUGGUAAAUUCCAUCUAAAGCUAAAUAUUGGCGAGAGACCGAUAGCGAACAAGUACCGUGAGGGAAAGAUGAAAAGAACUUUGGAAAGAGAGUUAAACAGUACGUGAAAUUGUUGAAAGGGAAACGCUUGAAGUCAGUCGCGUUGGUCAGAAAUCAACCUUCAAAGGUGCACUUUCUGGUUUUUACGGGUCAGCAUCAAUUUUGAUUGUUGGAUAAAAGUCAAUAUUUAUGCAUCUUCGGAUGUAUAGCCAUUGGUUGCAUACAACAGUUGGGAUUGAGGAACUCAGCACGCCGCAAGGCCGGGUCUCUUUUGAUCACGUACGUGCUUAGGAUGCUGGCAUAAUGGCUUUAAUCGACCCGUCUUGAA